UCAACAAGUUUCAAUGAAUGCAAAGCAGGUCAACAGGACGUUACUGCUUAAACAGAUAGCAAGAGAUCUGUGUAUAAGUGAACAGAGAAUCCUGUAUCGCGCACAAUAAAUAUUGCGUAGAAGACUGAGGGACAUGAGAGGCGGCGAACUUAGAGCUCUGUCAUUGUUCAAUGGACUCAGAAAGCUCUUCAAAUAAUUGGACCGGCUAUAUUAUUUUGGCGGAAGAUCUUAGUGGACAGUUUUGAGUUCUGCAAUAACAUGUUUCAGGUCCUUCGCUCGUCAGUUUCAGCUUGAGCUCCAAUAUUUUUACAUACCAAAUCAGAUUGCAGUAUCAGACAUGUUUCUUAUUUGGAGAAGCAACUGGGUGCUGGAAAGGAGUUGAAGUUCAGGAAUGGAUAGUUGUACAUUGUAACUGAGCAGCCAGAGCUUGGCAUAUACGCAUGUGCUUCUGAAGCGCGUUGUGAAUCGCUUUGCUUGCAACAAGCCAACAAUGUACCACUCCACCAUUGAGUUGUUUUUACGCGAGGAAGGAGCCUGGCAUUCUGGUCGCCACUGUGUUGUGCUCC